rnacentral:rRNA from 1 species
UACGGAGGGUGCAAGCGUUAUCCGGAUUCACUGGGUUUAAAGGGUGCGUAGGUGGGCUGAUAAGUCAGUGGUGAAAUCUCUAGGCUUAACCUGGAAACUGCCAUUGAUACUAUCGGUCUUGAAUCUCGCGUAGGUAAGCGGAAUAUGUCAUGUAGCGGUGAAAUGCUUAGAUAUUGUGAGGAACACUAGUGGCGAAGGCGAAUCUCUGGACAGUUCCUGACGCUGAGGCACGAAGGCCAGGGGAGCAAACGGG